GUCAGAACAUCAAAUGGGACAAUUAUAGCCUGCUACUGGAUAUACUGACCUAGACUGCGUAGCUAUACCUGGCUGGAUUGGUUUGUUUUGCCUGCUGAACAAAUGCUAGCCUGUCUGGCUUUUUUGGGUAAUGAGAAAAAUCGAAACUGCAAACGUCCUCUUCACCACAGUGACAGUGGACAGACGACACCUACUCACAUGGAGCUAAAAGAGAAUUAGAUAGAUCAAAGAAGUCUGCGCAACAUCUUUCCACAAUUUCUAGAAUCAGAAUUUCAACAUUGGAUUGAAACAUUGCAUCUAGGACUUCUCUUGCCGUCUGAUUCACCUGCUAAAAUAGACAGCACAGAGUUGGAGCUUCUUCUUCGACUUCAGCAUGGGAUCCUAGUACUUCCUGCACCACUGCUCUUUAAACAGCUCAUGCUAUAUUUGCACCUCUCUGCUGAAUGCCUCAGCAUUAGUCAUCCUCUAUUACUCAUGUGGCGUGUAUUUGUGAACACACCGGGAGAGCACAGAGGAGCUCCUGCCUACUAAAAAAUGCAGCUUAACUUGAUACAAAAGUGGUCAGGGUGUGGGUGCCACAGAGGACCAUUGAGCCGGAAUUCUUUGUGUUUGUGUAGCUUCACUCUCGGCAGUUCUUUUCUCCUGUUCUUGGAAUAAUUUUAAUUCUGCGGGAUUUACUUGUCCCAGUUAAAGUAAUCCAGACACGUGGAGUAUCAGCGGUCUUUUUAUUCCUCAACCUGGCAGGUUUGAGGCUUGUCUGGUGGAAUUUGUGACUCCAUCUGCUGGACAAAUUCUGUUACAUGUGCUGGAGUUACAAAGGCCACUCUGCUGCACUCUUGGGGUGGC